rnacentral:rRNA from 1 species
GAUGAACGCUGGCGGCGUGCCUAAUACAUGCAAGUCGAGCGAACAGACGAGGAGCUUGCUCCUCUGACGUUAGCGGCGGACGGGUGAGUAACGCGUGGAUAACCUACCUAUAAGACUGGGAUAACUUCGGGAAACCGGAGCUAAUACCGGAUAAUAUAUUGAACCGCAUGGUUCAAUAGUGAAAGACGGUUUUGCUGUCACUUAUAGAUGGAUCCGCGCCGCAUUAGCUAGUUGGGAAGGUAACGGCUUACCAAGGCAACGAUGCGUAGCCGACCUGAGAGGGUGAUCGGCCACACUGGAACUGAGACACGGUCCAGACUCCUACGGGAGGCAGCAGUAGGGAAUCUUCCGCAAUGGGCGAAAGCCUGACGGAGCAACGCCGCGUGAGUGAUGAAGGUCUUCGGAUCGUAAAACUCUGUUAUUAGGGAAGAACAAAUGUGUAAGUAACUAUGCACGUCUUGACGGUACCUAAUCAGAAAGCCACGGCUAACUACGUG